rnacentral:rRNA from 1 species
AUGAACGCUGGCGGCGUGCUUAACACAUGCAAGUCGAACGGGAAUUAUUUUAUUGAAACUUCGGUCGAUUUAAUUUAAUUCUAGUGGCGGUCGGGUGAGUAACGCGUGGGUAACCUGCCUUAUACAGGGGGAUAACAGUCAGAAAUGGCUGCUAAUACCGCAUAAGCGCACAGAGCUGCAUGGCUCAGUGUGAAAAACUCCGGUGGUAUAAGAUGGACCCGCGUUGGAUUAGCUGGUUGGUGGGGUAACGGCCCACCAAGGCGACGAUCCAUAGCCGGCCUGAGAGGGUGAACGGCCACAUUGGGACUGAGACACGGCCCAGACUCCUACGGGAGGCAGCAGUGGGGAAUAUUGCACAAUGGGGGAAACCCUGAUGCAGCGACGCCGCGUGAAGGAAGAAGUAUCUCGGUAUGUAAACUUCUAUCAGCAGGGAAGAUAGUGACGGUACCUGACGAAGAAGCCCCGGCUAACUACGUG